UACGGGGGGGGCAAGCGUUGUUCGGAAUUACUGGGCGUAAAGGGCUUGUAGGUGGCCAACUAAGUCAGACGUGAAAUCCCUCGGCUUAACCGGGGAACUGCGUCUGAUACUGGAUGGCUUGAGUGUGGGAGAGGGAUGCGGAAUUCCAGGUGUAGCGGUGAAAUGCGUAGAUAUCUGGAGGAACACCGGUGGCGAAGGCGGCAUCCUGGACCAACACUGACACUGAGGAGCGAAAGCCAGGGGAGCAAACAGG
rnacentral:rRNA from 1 species